UUAAACAGAAAAAAAUAUGAUGCUGAAGGUAUUCUAUUUUAUGGUGGCUGUUAGAGAGCAAUAAACCUUGCAAGUUUCAUUUCAUGGUGGAUUCUUUUCUCAUGCUGAUUGUGUACCCAGGUGACCUGUGCCACAUGGUGACACAAGGACAUUUGAUAACAUUACUGAAGUGCUGCACCUCAGCUGCUGCUGCUGACUUCUGUAGGACUUUCUGCCUACUGGACCAUUGAACACAUAAAAUUACUCUGAUAACACAGCUGAGGAGUUCAUUAAAUACCUGUUUGGUCAUGUACAAAUGAGCCUCUUUGUUCAGAUGGGGAAGACUGACAAGGAAGUUGACCCAGAUGGGGAAGACACUAGCGAAGUUGACCGUUAUUAAAGUCUUCCAGUGGGAUCCCUAGGCACAGGCAGGCUGCGAGCUAUAGCAAUGUUGUCUGAACGAUGUGUCUGAGGGUUGGUGACAAAUCUAAAGCCUCUGGAAUUACGGGGAUUUGGAUACACAGAGGACCAAGCAUCAGAAAGAUGCUAUUCAUCAGACUGGUGAGCCAGAUUAAAUCUCUGAAGGCUUUGGCAGCCUCAAGCUCUGCUGAAGUCAUUGGGCUCUGAAGAUGCUCACAACUUUAUUUAUUAUGUUGCUGUUAAAAGUGUUAAAACUUUCAAAGGCCUACCC